rnacentral:rRNA from 1 species
GAUGAACGCUGGCGGCGUGCCUAACACAUGCAAGUCGAGCGAGAAUUUAUCAAUUGAUCCUUCGGGUGAUUUUGAUAAAGGAAAGCGGCGGACGGGUGAGUAACGCGUGAGUAACCUGCCCUUAAGUGGAGGAUAACACAUCGAAAGAUGUGCUAAUACUGCAUAAUGUAUAUUAUUCGCAUGUUUGAUAUACCAAAGAUUUAUUGCUUAAGGAUGGACUCGCGUCUGAUUAGUUAGUUGGUGAGGUAACGGCUCACCAAGACGACGAUCAGUAGCCGGCCUGAGAGGGUGAACGGCCACAUUGGGACUGAGACACGGCCCAAACUCCUACGGGAGGCAGCAGUGGGGAAUAUUGCACAAUGGGGGAAACCCUGAUGCAGCGACGCCGCGUGAGUGAAGAAGUAUUUCGGUAUGUAAAGCUCUAUCAGCAGGGAAGAAAAUGACGGUACCUGACUAAGAAGCCCCGGCUAACUACGUGCCAGCAG